CCCUGGCAAUUAUCCCAGCAUCCAGGUAAGUUUCCAGUGUCACUGAAUGGCUUUUUUUUAAUAGGCACUGAAAUGCUUAUUGACUCUACAUUGACAUCCUUUUCUUGUUUUUCCAGGUUGUCUUCACCAGAGUACAGGGACAGAAAGAAGACUGUGGCUGAAACCUCCUGAAAAUAUCAGCAAUCUUAUUUCACAUUGAGACCGAUAAUUGACUUGUUGGGAUUCUAGAGACAUACUAGAAAGCAUGUGUUCCUCGUGCCUCCCUAUGCAUAGUGAUGGGUCCAGAACUCAACUCCUUUGAAUAUUGCCAGACAUAGCACCAGACA